UACGGAGGAUCCAAGCGUUAUCCGGAAUCAUUGGGUUUAAAGGGUCCGUAGGCGGUUUAAUAAGUCAGUGGUGAAAGCCCAUCGCUCAAGCGGUGGAAGCGGCCAUUGAUACUGUUAAACUUGAAUUAUUAGGAAGUAACUAGAAUAUGUAGUGUAGCGGUGAAAUGCUUAGAGAUUACAUGGAAUACCAAUUGCGAAGGCAGGUUACUACUAAUGGAUUGACGCUGAUGGACGAAAGCGUGGGUAGCGAACAGG
rnacentral:rRNA from 1 species